GAUCUGUGAGGAGAAAUGGCACUAAAAAAGAAGAGACACCUGCAUGGAGAUCAUGUCUGAGGGAAAUGACACCAAAAUAAAAGAGACACCUGCCUGGAGAUCAUCUGUGAGGAGAAAUGGCACCAAAAUAAAAGAGACACCUGCCUGGAGAUCAUCUCUGAGGAAAAUUCCACCAAAAUAAAAGAGACACCUGCCUGGAGAUCCUGAAGAUCAUCUCUGAGGGGAAAUGCCAUUAAAAAAGAAGAGACACCUGCCUGGAGAUCCUGGGAAUCAUCUCUGAGGGGAAAUGGCACAAAAAUAAAAGAGACACCUGCCUGGAGAUCAUCUCUGAGGGGAAAUGGCACCAAAAUAAAAGGGACACCUGCCUGGAGAUCAUCUCUGAGGGGAAAUGGCACCAAAAUAAAAGAGACACCUGCCUGGAGAUCCUGGAGAUGAUCUGUGAGGGGAAAUGCCAUUAAAACAGAAGAGACACCUGCCUGGAGAUGAUAUCUGAGGGAUAUGGCAGUAAAAUAAAAGAGACACCUGCCUGGAGAUCCUGAAGAUCAUCUGUGAGGGGAAAUGCUGUUAAAAAAAAAGAGACACCUGCCUGGAGAUGAUAUCUGAGGGAUAUGGCAGUAAAAUAAAAGAGACACCUGCCUGGAGAUCCUGGAGAUGAUCUCUGAGGGGAAAUGACACCAAAAUAAAAGAGACACCUGCCUGGAGAUCAUCUCUGAGGGGAAAUGGCUCUAAAAGGAAAGAGACACCUGCCUGGAGAUCAUCUCUGAGGGAAAUGACACCAAAAUAAAAGAGACACCUGCCUGGAGAUCAUCUCUGAGGAGAAAUGGCGCCAAAAUAAAAGAGACACCUGCCUGGAGAUCAUCUCUGAGGGGAAAUGACACCAAAAUAAGAGACACCUGCCUGGAGAUCCUGGGAAUCAUCUCUGAGGGGAAAUGGCACAAAAAUAAAAGACACACCUGCCUGGAGAUCAUCUGUGAGGGGAAAUGGCACCAAAAUAAAAGAGACACCUGCCUGGAGAUCAUCUGUGAGGGAAAUGACACCAAAAUAAAAGAGACACCUGCAUGGAGAUCAUCUGUGAGGGGAAAUGGCACUAAAGCAGAAGAGACACCUGCCUGGAGAUGA
rnacentral:lncRNA from 1 species